rnacentral:rRNA from 1 species
GUGCCAGCAGCCGCGGUAAGACGGAGGGUGCAAGCGUUGUUCGGAUUGACUGGGCGUAAAGGGCGUGUAGGCGGUUGCCCAAGUCCGAUGUGAAAGCCCGGGGCUUAGCCUCGGAAGUGCAUCGGAAACUAGGCAGCUGGAGCGCGAUAGAGGAGGGUAGAAUUCCUGGUGUAGCGGUGAAAUGCGUAGAUAUCAGGAGGAAUACCGGCGGCGAAGGCGGCCCUCUGGAUCGUUGCUGACGCUGAGACGCGAAAGCGUGGGGAGCAAACAGGAUUAGAAACCCUCGUAGUCC